GACGUGUAUUAACUAGCUUAUCCUCUGCUUUGUCAGAGAGGUAAUUAGUGUAUCCUCUGCUUUGCCAGGGAAAGUUACCAGGUUUUUAUUUGUUAACAAGUGUAUCCUCUGCUUGCCAGGGAAGUGUUAGAAGUGUCCUGUUGUGUCAGAAAGACUUUACAAAAUGUUGAGAAGGAAUGCUAAGCUGAUUCCAGCAGCUAAGACAGGUGGACUAGCUACUCCUUCAUGGACAGACAGUGAGUUCAAAUCAUUGUUAGGAGAGCACAUGGACUCAAUAGUGACAGAGUCAGUCAGAUUGGAUUUGAUAAAGAAAUUUGGUAUUGAUCCAGAAAAAGUAUGGUCAAUUGAAGAGUGUAAAAAGGUACCAGGAUCAUGUAUUCGCAAGAACAAUGUGAAAGGCAUUAUCUGCUGCCACCGAGAAUUUGGUUUAGCGCUAGCUAGACAACAGUCUCGGCAUUACUCAGAGUUAGAGGAACAGAACAAAAAACUCCAUUCUAGAGGAUCCUCUUUGACUAAUAAAUUGAAACGCAACAAAGCUGCAGCAAAAACUGAUGUGGAAGAAGUUAGUCAGCCUGAUAAUAAUUAUCCUGAAUUACAAGCUUUCUUUGAAACAGAUGUAGCCAUCCAAUCAGUAACUGAAGUGCCUAUAGAUUCAGUGAAGGUAUGUGGCGCUAGGAGAAGAUCUCAGAGAAUUGAGGGAAUUGAAAGUGUUCCUCCCAACUCUUCUGUUGUCCAAGUACAAACUGUUGCCAAAGUGCUAAGACCUAAAGAUAUAGAGAGACUAUCCCAGAGCUUACCCUCAGCACGCACACAUUUUACUGAAUUUAGAAGAGCAUUGAUCAGCAAAAUGCGUCUCUAUGAUAUGUCUCUAUCUGAGGUCACCCAGAUAAUAUCCCAACUUUUGACAGAGUACGAAUUCAGUGAUUUUGAAAGUGCUGUAAAUAAUUCUGAGUUUCAAUGUGCAAGUAAAGAUGAAUUGAGAGAGGGAGUUCUGAGAGAGUUAAAGAACACUGUUGGACCAAAAGUGGAUUGGUCAAAGGUCACUAGUUGUGUACAGAAGGAAGCUGAAACUGUAAGUGAGUACACUGAAAGGUUUUGUCAGUCAGCUGCAGCAUACAGUGGAAUAGCUGACACUCCAGAGAAGGUACUGGAUCAUAAAGGACCACUAGUUUGAGCAUGGUUUGAUGGCCUUUUAUCAGAGUACAGAUCUGCUUUGCCUUUCUUAGAUCUUACAUGGUCCACUGGAAGCUUGCAAAACAACUUGGACAGGUUAGCUACUUGGGAAAGAGACCCUGAUGUUAAAGCCAGAGUAAAGAUUGCAGCAGCAUCCUUUCAGAACAACACAGAGAACCAACAGAAACGUAAAAGUCCUAAAAGAGAGGGCAGUUGUCAUUACUGUGGUAAACCUGGACACAGGAUGAAAGAGUGUAGUAAAAGCAAGAAGAAAUUAACAGCUUUACUCAGCUCCUACUCGGUCUACUUACCACUCUGAAGCAGCCCCUCCCCACUUCACCUAACUGUC
ensembl:lncRNA